rfam:Exophiala oligosperma strain CBS 72588 unplaced genomic scaffold supercont1.6, whole genome shotgun sequence.
GCAAUCGACCAUACGUUGAGGAAUACAGGACUUCCCGUCCGCUCAGUCGUACUUAAGCCUCAAGCGGUCUCGUCAGUACUAACGUGGGUGACCAGUUGGGAAUCCGGGAUGUCGAUUGUU